AUAAGAACUUUUCAGUAGUUUUUUCUGUUAGGAUUGUUACUAGGACAAAGAUAAAAUAUUCGUGGGUCUUUUUCUAACGAAUAUUCCAAAUUUGCAAAUCUUUAUGACGUGCUUUAACUGCUGCCAAGGGGAGGAAAAGGAACACCAGACGACGUGAUGCUGCAAAGCUCAGACUAAUUUAUUGGGCCAAGCAAGGGACAGGCUUUGCCAGAAACAGCUUUUCACGCGCUCAGACAGCCCCAUCAACUGAGACCUGUCUCUCUCAUCUCUCCAAUGAGUUAGUGAUGUUCGUUCCAGCUGGUCCCAGGGGUGAGCUUUGGGCAGUGGCUUGGCUUCAGUGCGUGACGGCGUCAGCUCGGAUGCUACGCGGUGUCGGACAUCCGUGUGACAGCGCUGCCCUUGUCGCCAGCCCUGAGGGUCAUUACAGUGAGGUGUCAGCACUGGCCACCGGCUCCCUCUGGUCAUGAUGACAUCCUGCUACAGCUCUCCGAUGGUUUCAGGUUUCUCCUCUUUCUGUGUGCGUGUGCCUGAGCACCUGCCUUCCUCCUCGCUUCAGAGGUACCUGGAGAAGAUCUGGUAGGACAGUAAGAAAG